rnacentral:rRNA from 1 species
ACGCUGGCGGCGUGCCUAAUACAUGCAAGUAGAACGCUGAAGAGAGGAGCUUGCUCUUCUUGAAUGAGUUGCGAACGGGUGAGUAACGCGUAGGUAACCUGCCUUGUAGCGGGGGAUAACUAUUGGAAACGAUAGCUAAUACCGCAUAACAAUGGGUGACACAUGUCAUUUAUUUGAAAGGGGCAAUUGCUCCACUACAAGAUGGACCUGCGUUGUAUUAGCUAGUAGGUGAGGUAACGGCUCACCUAGGCGACGAUACAUAGCCGACCUGAGAGGGUGAUCGGCCACACUGGGACUGAGACACGGCCCAGACUCCUACGGGAGGCAGCAGUAGGGAAUCUUCGGCAAUGGGGGCAACCCUGACCGAGCAACGCCGCGUGAGUGAAGAAGGUUUUCGGAUCGUAAAGCUCUGUUGUAAGUCAAGAACGAGUGUGAGAGUGGAAAGUUCACACUGUGACGGUAGCUUACCAGAAAGGGACGGCUAACUACGUGCCAGCAGCCGCGGUAAUACGUAGGUCCCGAGCGUUGUCCGGAUUUAUUGGGCAUAAAGCGAGCGCAGGCGGUUUGAUAAGUCUGAAGUUAAAGGCUGUGGCUCAACCAUAGUUCGCUUUGGAAACUGUCAAACUUGAGUGCAGAAGGGGAGAGUGGAAUUCCAUGUGUAGCGGUGAAAUGCGUAGAUAUAUGGAGGAACACCGGUGGCGAAAGCGGCUCUCUGUCUGUAACUGACGCUGAGGCUCGAAGGCGUGGGGAGCGAACAGGAUUAGAUACCCUGGUAGUCCACGCCGUAAACGAUGAGUGCUAGGUGUUGGAUCCUUUCCGGGAUUCAGUGCCGCAGCUAACGCAUUAAGCACUCCGCCUGGGGAGUACGACCGCAAGGUUGAAACUCAAAGGAAUUGACGGGGGCCCGCAC